UUCAAUUUAGCGGCCAUGAUGCUCGCUGGCAGUUUGCCUUGUCAUCCAUUUUUUUCUCAUGGUGACCUACCAUUGGCUUCAAAAGAUGAUGACGUCAGUCAUCUUAAAUGGCAGAUCCUUCUGCCUGUGUUUUGGGUUGUAGAAGCUUUUAAGCGUCGUCAGGCCAUGCAUAGUAGCUGUAGUUGCCCGCUGACGGAAGACACCUUUAAUCGCUUUCCGUCCCAGAGCAAUGUUUAUGGCUUGUCAGCGUUACCUUGCGGAGGCAGUGGGCACGAGCUGUUGGCUGCCACCCUGAAGGGGAAAGUUACCAGUUUCAAGUACCAGAAGCUAAGAGACAAACUGCGGGCGGCGGCCCGGGAGCUGCAUUUCACUUAUAUACCGGUUGACGCUGAGAUUGUGUCUAUUGAUUCCUUCAGCAAGUCUCCACCCAAACAAGGCCUAGUGGUUGGAAUAACUUUCAUCAAGGAUUCUGGUGAUAAGGCAAGCCCUUUCCUCAAUAUUUAUUGCGACUAUGAACCAGGAUCUGAAUACAACCUUGACUCAAUUGCACAGAGUUGCCUAAAUCUGGAGCUGAAAUUCACUCCAUUCCAGCUAUGCCACACUGAAGUGCAGGAUGGUGACAAACAGGAGACCGUGUUUUUACUGAGUGGCAAUGAUCAGUGUAUUCACCUAUACAAAGAGAAUGAAGGACUUCACCAAUUUGAAGAGCAGCCUGUGGAAAAUCUGUUUCCAGAGCUUAAAGAAAUUCCAAACAAUGUUACUUGGUUAAGUGUUUACAACAUUCCAGGUACACACAGGCGGAUUACAGCAUAUGGAUGUCAAAGUGGGUACAUCUGUGUUUCACAUGUAGAGCAAAGGAACAGAGAGAUUCUUCAGAGCUGGUUUGUGCAGCAGGAUGGACCUCUGUCCAAGGUGCUGGUUUUCUGCAUGCCAGGAUUUGGCAGAGGACAGAACCUUAAAAAGGAAUACGGUGUUUUAGUAACUAGCACCAUUGAACUUUCUGUGGUCUAUAGGAAUGUCUUAAUUAAUGGUCUUAAUGAGCAGCUGCUCCUACCAGAAAGUGACCAGUUUGACAGUGUCCUUUGUGCAGAGUUGGCUGAUGUGGAUUUUGAUGGAGAGCCAGAAAUCCUGUUGGGCACCUAUGGACAGGAGCUGCUGUGUUACAAGUAUAUUGAGGUGGGCCAUCAACGGCAAUUCACGCUGCUGUGGCAAAGGAGUUUCCCUAGCCCCUUACACUGCAUAGCAUAUGUUGACUUAACUUCUGAUGGCCUCUGUGAGCUGGCCAUUGUGUGUCUUAAAGGGCUACAUAUAUUGCAGCACAGCCUCACUCAUGCAGGUAAGUGCCUCGUUCAGCGUCUCCGGGAAAACGUCCAGUGCCUAACAGUUAUGGAAAAGUUGCAGACUGAGGAUACCAAGAUGAAUGAGGCACCAGCCACUGAGGACUGCAGCAUUCCAGACUAAGAAUAUACACAACACCCUGUUGUCUGUCUGUCACCUGCAUUUGUGCUAAAAAAAAAAAAAAAAAGUUGGAAGAACUUGGCAAUAUGUUUUUCUGCUGUGCAGAAUAAAUAGUCUUUGUAAUAAAAUUCAUCUAUUGUUAAAAGUACAACUCCUAAAACAAAUGGAAGGGGACAGUAAUCAGUUAAAGGAAAAUUUUACCACCAAAAUGAAUACCAAGUAACAGAUUAUAUCAUACUUACUGGAAUAUCUCUUACCUUGAGCCCCAUUUAGUGAUGGCAUCAUCCUGUUGGUUGCUUUUUAUUAUUAAGGACCUAGCAUCUUGUUAAAAUAUAUUCAACAGGUAAAAUACUACAAAAUAACUUGUUGAAGGCCCUCCCAAAAUGGAAUUUUGUGAGACAUUGGUUCGGAAAGGACAUAGGUUAUCCCAAACACAAAGUAGAGUAACACUGGCUAAAAAAAACAAAUCUAUGGGGUAGAUUUAUCUAAGGUCGAGGUGAAUUUUCAAAUUAAAAAAAUUCGAAUUUCAAGCUAUUUUUUGUGUACGACUAGGGCAUGGUCCAAAUUCGAUUUGAAUUUCAGAAAAUUCGAAUAUCGAAAUUUAUCGUUUACGGUCUCUUUAAAAGUUGCUGUUUUAGCCUACGAGGGACCUCCUGGAACCUAUUUGGUGGACUUUGAAAGUUUUUUUUGGGAAAAACUUUGAUUCGUAUUAGAUCGAAUGCGCUAUUACUUGGAUUCGUACGAUUCAAAUUCGGCCGUAUACGGACCUAUACGAUAGAAAAUGGACCUAUUCUGCCAGAAAAAAACUUCGACUUAAUUUCGGCAGGUCUUUUGAAAUUCGAAUUUCGAAGCUUUUCAAAUUCGAAAUUCGACCCUUUAUAAAUAUGCCCUGUAGUGUCAGUUCUUUGAAUAAAAAUAUCAGACAAUGCCAUUGUAGGAUUUGUAUUUCAAUAAAAUGAGAGAACUAGUCAAGCAGAUGAAUAAAGUUGCAAAGCAUUUUUUUCUGUAGGAUCAUUGAAGCAAGUCCGCACAAAAUUUCUUGUAAAAGGAUACAUUGUUAAUUGUUACUGAGGGAGGUAUAAUACUAUACUACGAUACUGUAGUUAUUACUUUUUUUUAGCUAUAAAUUAAUGCCAAUUUUGUGUUCAAAUAGAAAACUUUUUUUCCAUUUGCUUUCUCGCUAAACACAGUAGUCAGGAUAGCAGAUUUGUUUUUUCUGAAGUGAGUAGUUCACCUUUAAGAAAACUUUUUCGUAUUUUAUAGAAUUUUUAGUAACUUUCCAAUUGGUCUUCAUUUGUUUUUUAUUCUGCCUCGGUCUCUUUCCAGCUUUCAAAUGGGGUUACUGACCCCUCAACAUAAAAUGAUUUCUUUGUGAGGCUACUGUUAUUGCUGCUUUCAUUAGAGCCUCUCUUCUUCAUUUUCCAGUAUCACAUUCAAACUACUACCUGGUUGCUUGGGUUAAAUUAGAACCUCGCAACUGAUAUUUCAAGAUGUAGAGCUGCUAAACAAUUAAAGAAAUUAAGACCACUUGCAAAUUUUCACAGGAUAUCACUGUCUACAACAUACUUAAAGUUUAUUUAAAGGUAAACAACCCCUUUCAAAACGUUUUGGUUACAUGAGUAAAGUUCAUAAUGUCUGUUUUUUUUAAUGGGGAAAAUUAAUUCAAUGUGUCAAUGCAGAGUCUUCAAUGUGUUUUUUUUUUUUUUUUUACAACAAUUUAUUAUUAUUAUUAUUAACAUGUAUUUAUAUAGUGCCAACAUAUUUUGCAGUGCUGUAAAGUAAAUGUGUUUAUACAACAAAAUCACAUGAAUUACAUACACAGAACAUGGAGUUACAUACAGUACAUCACAACCAAUACUGGGACAAAAGAUGAGGAAGGCCCUGUGCAAAAGAGCUUACAAUCUAAAGGGAAGGGAAUAAGACACAAGGUAUGGGAGUGGGCAAGAUCAGAAUAAAGUUGGUGAGAGAUGUAGCACUGUAUGUGGAAUUGCAUUUGGUAGUCUAGCAGAGUGAGUGUAGGCUUCUCUAAAUUAGUAUGUUAAAAAUAUGGAACGCUUCACAAAUUUGCGUGUAGGAUGAACUUUUUUUUUUACCCAGAGAAUCCCAAAAUAAUUGUAGCCACCAAAAACCUAUGCAACAUUUUGGAGUAACUGCUAGGUGCAAGCAUUUUGCAAAAACUAGCUUCUCUUUGUAAACCUUACCCAUUGUCAUAAAUGGUUUGCUUUAUGGGGGGUUUAUAGAUGGGAUUUUGUUUGUCAUGUUUGAAUUAUUAUUUUAUUUAUUAUUAAAGACCAUGUAUUUUGUGCCAUA